GAUGAACGCUGGCGGCGUGCCUAAUACAUGCAAGUCGAGCGAACAGAUGAGGAGCUUGCUCCUCUGACGUUAGCGGCGGACGUGGGAGUAACACGUGGAUAACCUACCUAUAAGACUGGGAUAACUUCGGGACACCGGCGCUAAUACCGGAUAAUAUAUUGAACCGUAUGGUUCAAUAGUGAAAUACGGUUUUGCUGUCACUUAUAGAUGGAUCCGCGCCGCAUGAGCUAGUUGGUACGUUAACGGCUUACCAAGGCAACGAUGCGUAGCCGACCUGAGAGGGUGAUCGGCCACACUGGAACUGAGACACGGUCCAGACUCCUACGGGAGGCCGCAGUAGGGAAUCUUCCGCAAUGGGCGAAAGCCUGACGGAGCAACGCCGCGUGAGUGAUGAAGGUCUUCGGAGCGUAAAACUCUGUUAUUAGGGAAGAACAAAUGUGUAAGUAACUAUGCACGUAUUGACGGUACCUAAUCAGAAAGCCACGGCUAACUACGUG
rnacentral:rRNA from 1 species